UGUCACAAUUCCUUAGGGACACAGUCCGGAGCAACUUCAGCUAGUUUCAUUCAGACGAGAUUUGGCUCGGCUCGGAAGUGGAAGCAGUGACAAUGAAAGUGAUACUGGCGUUUUGCGCAUUCUUGGGUCUAACCGCAGCUCAACGGGAAGAUUCGCUCAACGUCAUCAGCAGCUUACGACAAGUUCAACCCGCGUAUCGAGAUUUACAAAAUUUUGUCGUUGCGGUAGUGUCAAAUGCCAAAAUCAACAGUUCUGAUGUGAUUUUUGCAUUUCACGAGCAAAUUUCCUCGUCAAGGAAAGCUUCCUCAGAUCAGCUAUUGGAAAGAAGCUAGCACCUUGUACCAAAUCAACGGUCAAAACCAGAAUCUCGACGCGAGCUGCCUCAACCUUUUGCGCAGCAGCAUCGAAGUCAACAUCAAUCUGGCGGGAGUUUCGUUCAGCAACUGCAUCACGGCCGUCGACGGUCGCCUCAAUACGGAAAUCUCCCAGAUUUACCGCGAGCUGGAAUUGAACGAAACUUCUUUCGUGAACAUCAGCAUCUACGAUGUGUUCCGCGGUCAGAACAUCUUCAUGAACCCGCAGGUCAUCACCGAACUGUUGCAAGCCAAGCUGGCUCAGCUGCAGCAAUCUCCUACGGGAUUGGUUGCCGAACUAUCUCAGCUUGUUGACGGUUUUCGCGGUCGGUUGGAUCUGGUUCGGGCAGCCUACGGUCAGUGUUUGAACGCCAAUGACCAGCUGCUGCAAACGGCCGUCAAUACUGUGCUGGUUCAGCUGCAGCAGAUUUGUCAGGGUGCGCUGAUCCCGGAUGUAACCACCGUGGGGCCGACCACGGUUGACCCAGAAACACCGGAACUGACCACUCCGGAGUUGACAACGACUCAAGUGCCCGAGACCACACCUCCAUCCACACCGGAGCUGACGGCGGCUCAAACGGAUGGGCCCACUGUCGAACCUCCAGCUUACAUCAACUUUCUUCCCAAUGGACCUCCAGCCGUGCAACCAGACAGUGACUUCCGAUGGAACUAACAUGCAGCUCAAUUAUAAGUUCCUUUAAAAUUAAUUUAUUUACGUGCCAACAAUCUUUCAAAAUAAAAAAAAAAUAACAAAUGA